rfam:Gossypium hirsutum cultivar TM-1 chromosome 11, whole genome shotgun sequence
AUUCCAUGAUGAGGGCAUUUUCGUAAUAGCUCUUUAUAUUGUUCCCAUGCCUCAGACAAGGACUCAUCAUCCAUUUAUUGGAAAGUCGUGAUCUCGUUCCUCAACUU